rnacentral:misc_RNA from 1 species
UGGCGCAGAAAGGAUGGAGUCUACAUGUACUUUGAAGAUAAUGCUGGUGUUAUUGUGAAUCCUAAAGGUGAAAUGAAAGGAUCUGCAAUUACUGGUCCAAUUGGAAAGGAAUGUGCUGAUCUGUGGCCAAGGAUUGCAAGUGCAGCAAAUGCUAUCGUAUAAGUGCCUACCUACUCUUUUGGUCCUGUUUUUGGACCGCAAUUGUCACAUUUUUACAUGUGCCGUUAGGGUUGAUGUAGACUGUUGCUUGAAAGUUGAGCAAAUUUUUGCUUGUGGAUUUUGCAGGCGGUUAUUAACCACAUGGAAUUUAUGCGAUGAGAGUUUGUUAUAAUUGUAAUGGUUUUAAUUUUUAUAAAUUUUGAAGUUUUUAAUUUUUAUAAAUUUCGAAGUCAUUAAUUUUUAUGAAUUUCAAAGUUAUG